rnacentral:lncRNA from 1 species
AUGAACCUUUUUGUGGGGCUCUGUCGCUCCUGAGCAUUCUGCAAGUACCGUUAGUGCUGGAGCAACUGAUGAAAAUGGAAUAGGAAUGUAGGCAGGGGGCUGUUGCGUGCACUUUACGGAGGGCAGGAGGAAUCCAGGCAACAGACUGGAGUCCACCACGUAUAGUCGUUUAAACAACCAUGAUGCGCUAAAAUGCAGCACUGGCUGAGGGCAGACUCGCUCUCACAAACCAAGAGAAUGAAGAAAAUCCAUUAAAUGAAGAGGCACAUAGGUUCCUGCCAUCAUGACUGAAGUUGUUCCAGACUGGUCUCACUUCAAGCCAGCAAUAAUAAUUCAGACUGGUUCAAUCACUUAAUGUUGGAAAAUAUCCUCAAAUAUCCCUCCCAACCUCUCCUCCUCCCCUCCUUGAACAGAGAAAUGCUCAAGUUUCCCUCAGCGUUCCAAGUUCACAUUCACCUCUGCUUGCCGGGAGGAAAGAAGAAGGGAAGAGGGGACCCUUUCCAGGACACGGGAUAGUCUCUUACUUGUAUCCAUAGAAAAUACUUCAUUCUGCACUUUCUUUAACCUCAGGACUGUCUAAUUCCUCAUGGAAAGAAAAUAACAUUCUGGAAAAAAAGUAAAAGGCAGAUCUGAAACCAAAGACAAGGUUGGAUUUUUCCCCCUCUUGAACCUAGCCAAAUAAAA